GUGGCUGUGGCUCAGUGGUAGAGCGCUUGCCUGGCACAUGUGAGGCACUGGGUUCAAUUCUCAGCACCACA
rnacentral:tRNA from 1 species